UCCACUCCACCAAUUUCCCCACCACACUCAAAGUAUCAGCACCAACACCAACCCCACCUCACCAAACAUCCCACUCCACCAACUCCAUUAUCUUUUGCUCCCCACCAAAUCCUUCUCCCUUCUUACUCAAUAGAUCGCCAGUGGAGCUGUUUAAGAAAAUCCAAUUCGUAUAUUCCAACAGAAUGUUUACAGCAAGCUCAUGCCAACAUCAAAACCAAGUUUCACACAGAAAAAAAAAACACCCGAAAUAACAUCUAUAAUCUCCGAGAUCUCCUUAUUCAAACAGUAUAUGCCAACAAAUUUUCACCAAGAAGAAGAAAACAGAUCAGCCAAUCAAGCACAAAUAGACAAGGUAAACACUAGGCUCAGCUCAUUCAAUCCAUUCGUUUUUCAUCCAACAAGCAUGAUCGAUUAAAGGAUACUAAGCAUACAAUGAGUAUAUUCAUAAAGAGACUUAGCAAACUCAUAUGAUCUUUAGGCAGAAAUCAGUUUAUGCUAUAUUUUCUUAUCACACGAGGCAAGCAAGGAAAUUUCUUGAUACAUUAGUAAACCACGAACUUAGUUUUAUCUCUUGCAUAAUCAAUUAUAGAAAUACCAUAAUUCAAUAGAAAAAGGGAGAGAGUGAGGCUUGAGCCGGUUCUUGAGCAGAGGACAGAUUUCAGCGGCAUCUCCUGCUGCCUCGGCGGAAAUUGCGUGACAACAGCAGCAGCGUCACGAACGAAACAACGGCGCUGAAUCGCUGAUCUUCCACAAACGGUGGAGAUGGCGGCAGAACCAUGGCGGCAGAGGCGGAAAAGAAACAAGGCUCGACUCCCCGCCUGCUUUGACAUCUGAAUCGGGACCGGAACGGAGGAAGAAGGCGGCGUGACGCAACUCGAACCUCAUCGGGACCCCAAACAGCAACAACGAUCCAAGGACAGCAGCGGAUCGGCGAGCCUUUCACCUGUCGCCGGGAGGAACAGCGGCACCAUUCCAAGGGCAGCAGCGGCGCGAUGAGGGCGUCGGACACUCCCCUGCUCGCCGGCCUUCACAAGGCGGCGGCGGAACUUCAGCGUGAGGGAGAGAGACCGGAACCGAUGGCCGCUGAACAACCGAGGAAGAGGGCCGAUCAGAUCUUGGCCGAGAAAGAGAGAGAGCGGCCGGAAGGAGAGGAGGCCGACGGGCUCCAGGCCGGAGCAACGCCGCUCCCAGACGGCGACCGGCCGCCCAAUUUCG
rnacentral:lncRNA from 1 species